rnacentral:tRNA from 1 species
GGAGGAGUACCGAAGUGGCCAUAACGGCACCGCCUCGAAAGCGGAUGAGGUUGUAAAACCUGCGUGAGUUCGAAUCUCACCUCCUCCG